rnacentral:rRNA from 1 species
GAUGAACGCUAGCUACAGGCUUAACACAUGCAAGUCGAGGGGCAGCAUUUCAGUUUGCUUGCAAACUGGAGAUGGCGACCGGCGCACGGGUGAGUAACACGUAUCCAACCUGCCGAUAACUCGGGGAUAGCCUUUCGAAAGAAAGAUUAAUACCCGAUGGUAUAAUCAGACCGCAUGGUCUUGUUAUUAAAGAAUUUCGGUUAUCGAUGGGGAUGCGUUCCAUUAGGCAGUUGGUGAGGUAACGGCUCACCAAACCUUCGAUGGAUAGGGGUUCUGAGGGGAAGGUCCCCCACAUUGGAACUGAGACACGGUCCAAACUCCUACGGGAGGCAGCAGUGAGGAAUAUUGGUCAAUGGGCGCAGGCCUGAACCAGCCAAGUAGCGUGAAGGAUGACUGCCCUAUGGGUUGUAAACUUCUUUUAUAUGGGAAUAAAGUUUUCCACGUGUGGAAUUUUGUAUGUACCAUAUGAAUAAGGAUCGGCUAACUCCGUGCCAGCAGCCGCGGUAAUACGGAGGAUCCGAGCGUUAUCCGGAUUUAUUGGGUUUAAAGGGAGCGUAGGUGGACAGUUAAGUCAGUUGUGAAAGUUUGCGGCUCAACCGUAAAAUUGCAGUUGAUACUGGCUGUCCUGAGUACAGUAGAGGUGGGCGGAAUUCGUGGUGUAGCGGUGAAAUGCUUAGAAAUCACGAAGAACUCCGAUUGCGAAGGCAGCUCACUGGACUGCAACUGACACUGAUGCUCGAAAGUGUGGGUAUCAAACAGGAUUAGAUACCCUGGUAGUCCACACAGUAAACGAUGAAUACUCGCUGUUUGCGAUAUACAGUAAGCGGCCAAGCGAAAGCAUUAAGUAUUCCACCUGGGGAGUACGCCGGCAACGGUGAAACUCAAAGGAAUUGACGGGGGCCCGCACAAGCGGAGGAACAUGUGGUUUAAUUCGAUGAUACGCGAGGAACCUUACCCGGGCUUAAAUUGCAUUUGAAUAUAUUGGAAACAGUAUAGCCGUAAGGCAAAUGUGAAGGUGCUGCAUGGUUGUCGUCAGCUCGUGCCGUGAGGUGUCGGCUUAAGUGCCAUAACGAGCGCAACCCUUAUCUUUAGUUACUAACAGGUCAUGCUGAGGACUCUAGAGAGACUGCCGUCGUAAGAUGUGAGGAAGGUGGGGAUGACGUCAAAUCAGCACGGCCCUUACGUCCGGGGCUACACACGUGUUACAAUGGGGGGUACAGAAGGCAGCUACCUGGUGACAGGAUGCUAAUCCCAAAAGCCUCUCUCAGUUCGGAUCGAAGUCUGCAACCCGACUUCGUGAAGCUGGAUUCGCUAGUAAUCGCGCAUCAGCCAUGGCGCGGUGAAUACGUUCCCGGGCCU